UACGUAGGGUGCAAGCGUUAAUCGGAAUACUGGGCGUAAAGCGUGCGCAGGCGGUUUUGUAAGUCUGUCGUGAAAUCCCCCGGGCUCAACCUGGGAAUUGCGAUGGAGACUGCAAGGCUAGAAUCUGGCAGAGGGGGGGUAGAAUUCCACGUGUAGCAGUGAAAUGCGUAGAGAUGUGGAGGAAUACCGAUGGCGAAGGCAGCCCCCUGGGAUAACACUGACGCUCAUGCACGAA
rnacentral:rRNA from 1 species